rnacentral:rRNA from 1 species
UACGAAGGGGGCUAGCGUUGCUCGGAAUCACUGGGCGUAAAGGGCGCGUAGGCGGCCAGGCAAGUCGGCUUGUGAAAGCCCGGGGCUCAACCCCGGAGGUGCGGCCGGGACUGCUUGGCUGGAGGCCGGAAGAGGAGGGUGGAAUACCCAGUGUAGAGGUGAGAUUCGUAGAUAUUGGGUGGAACACCAGUGGCGAAGGCGGCUCACUGGCCCGAUACUGACGCUGAGGCACGAAAGCGUGGGGAGCAAACAGG